ensembl:lncRNA LINC00836 long intergenic non-protein coding RNA 836
CUUGAGGGUGCGUGAAAAUACUGUCGGAAGAGGAGGCAUUUCGAUCUGCAGCCCUGCCGUGCUGGGUUUCUGAGCUCUGCUGCUCUCUUUCUCUGGGUAACAGGAGACUUGAAGACAUCGCCCAGAAGGUAGAGCUUCAAAUCCUGUUCUAGGGCCCAGAAGCAGAGAUGCUGUGCUAGGGCCUGGGCAAAGCCAGACAAGAAGUGGUUCCUGCUAUCAGGCUGACUAACAUCUAUCAGAAAGAACAGAUCACGCAAAAUGACAUGAAUGACUGAAAAAGCAUGUGGAGCACAAGACUCAAGAACUAAGUGAAAGGACUCACACUUCCUGAUUUCAAGUAAAGCUACAGCAAUCAAGACGUGGCAUUGAUGUAAGAAUAGACACAUCAAUGAAUGAAACAGAAUACAUCUUCCAGAAAUAAAUUCACACAAAUAUAGUCAAGAGGUUUUUUGUGUGCUAAAGUGUAUAUAAUAUUUACCAUUUUAACCAUUUUUAAGUGCACAGUUCAGAAGCAUUAAGAAUAAACAAUGUUGUAUAACCAUCACCAUUAUCCAGUUCCAGAAUUUUUCAUCACCUCACACAGAAACUCUGUACCUAUUAUCAACAAUAAAUUUUCAUUCCCCCCUUGCCCUCAGUCUCUGGUAACCACUAUUGAACUUUCUGUUUCUAUGAAUUUGCCCCUUCUCAGUGCCUAAUAUGAGUGGAAUAAUACAAUAUGGGUC